UACGGAGGAUCCAAGCGUUAUCCGGAUUUAUUGGGUUUAAAGGGUGCGUAGGCGGCCUAUUAAGUCAGGGGUGAAAGACGGUAGCUUAACUAUCGCAGUGCCUUUGAUACUGAUGGGCUUGAAUACACUAGAGGUAGGCGGAAUGUGACAAGUAGCGGUGAAAUGCAUAGAUACGUCACAGAACACCAAUUGCGAAGGCAGCUUACUAUGGUGCAAUUGACGCUGAGGCACGAAAGCGUGGGGAUCAAACAGG
rnacentral:rRNA from 1 species